rnacentral:rRNA from 1 species
UACGUAGGGGGCUAGCGUUGUCCGGAAUCAUUGGGCGUAAAGCGCGUGUAGGCGGUCCGGUAAGUCCGCUGUGAAAGUCGGGGGCUCAACCCUCGGAUGCCGGUGGAUACUGUCGGGCUUGAGUACGGAAGAGGCGAGUGGAACUCCUGGUGUAGCGGUGGAAUGCGCAGAUAUCAGGAAGAACACCAACGGCGAAGGCAGCUCGCUGGGACGGAACUGACGCUAAGGCGCGAAAGCGUGGGGAGCGAACAGG